rnacentral:rRNA from 1 species
AUUGAACGCUGGCGGCAGGCCUAACACAUGCAAGUCGAACGAGUGGCGGACGGGUGAGUAAUGUCUGGGAAACUGCCUGAUGGAGGGGGAUAACUACUGGAAACGGUAGCUAAUACCGCAUACCAUCGGAUGUGCCCAUAUGGGAUUAGCUAGUAGGUGGGGAAAAGGCUCACCUAGUCGACGAUCCCUAGCUGGUCUGAGAGGAUGACCAGCCACACGGGAACGGUGACACGGUCCAGACUCUUACGGGAGGCAGCAGUGGGGAAUAUUGGACAAUGGGCGAAAGCCUGAUCCAGCCAUGCCGCGUGUGUGAAGAAGGUCGUCGGAUUGGAAAGCACUUUAAGUUGGGAGGCGUUACCAACAGAAUAAGCACCGGCUAACUUCGUGCCAGCAGCCGCGGUAAUUC